CCUACGGGAGGCUGCAGUGAGGAAUAUUGGUCAAUGGGCGCGAGCCUGAACCAGCCAAGUAGCGUGAAGGAUGACUGCCCUACGGGUUGUAAACUUCUUUUAUAAAGGAAUAAAGUGAGGUACGUGUGCCUUUUUGUAUGUACUUUAUGAAUAAGGAUCGGCUAACUCCGUGCCAGCAGCCGCGGUAAUACGGAGGAUCCGAGCGUUAUCCGGAUUUAUUGGGUUUAAAGGGAGCGUAGAUGGGUUGUUAAGUCAGUUGUGAAAGUUUGCGGCUCAACCGUAAAAUUGCAAUUGAUACUGGCAGUGUUGAGUACAGUUGAGGUAGGCGGAAUUCGUGGGGUAGCGGUGAAAUGCGGAGAUAUUAGGAAGAACACCAGUGGAGAAGGCGGCUUGCUGGACAGUAACUGCCGUUGAGGCUCGAAAGCGUGGGGAGCAAACAGGAUUAGAUACCCUUGUAGUC
rnacentral:rRNA from 1 species